rnacentral:snRNA from 1 species
AGAUAUGAGUGUGGUAUGGCUAUGACAUCUGUCACCCCAUUGAUUGUCAGGGUUAAUUUGGCUGAUCUGGCUGGCUAGGCAGGUGUCCCCCUCCUCUCUCUCUGCUCCAUGUGCAUCCUUUCUGAAGCUGAUGUCCAUCAAAGAGGAUGAAGAGGACAACCACCCCCAAUAGAGGAGGACUGUUUCCUCAUCAAGGGUAGAUGACUAGCUGCACUCCCUUGCUAAAACCUCCAAGCAAGCUCUCUAGAACAGAAGCCUAAGUGUUCAGUGGGAACAGAAAGGGCGAGUUCUUGGAUGUGGGUGUCCUAAGGGAGCUCAUUCUCU